GGGUAGCGGAGAAAUUCCAAUCGAACCCGGAGAUAGCUGGUUCUCCCCGAAAUAGCUUUAGGGCUAGCGUCGAGGUAAGUUGCGUGAAGGUAGAGCACUGAAUAUGUGAUGGCCCCAUCUCGGGGUACUGAGCAUAAUCAAACUGCGAAUGUCACGAUAACAUGCUCGGCAGUCAGACAGCGGGUGAUAAGGUCCGUUGUCAAGAGGGAAACAGCCCAGACCAUCAGCUAAGGUCCCAAAAUGUAUGCUAAGUGGAAAAGGAUGUGGAGAUGUACAGACAACUAGGAGGUUGGCUCAGAAGCAGCCAUCCUUUAAAGAGUGCGUAACAGCUCACUAGUCGAAUGACUCUGCGCCGAUAAUUUACCGGGGCUAAGCAUACUACCGAAGCUAUGGAUCCCAAGGGAUGGUAGGGGAGCGUUCCAUGAACGGAGAAGUACGACCGAAAGGACGUGUGGAGAUCAUGGAAGAGAGAAUGCCGGUGUGAGUAGCGGAACGUGGGUGAGAAUCCCACGCACCGAAAACCCAAGGUUUCCAGAGGAAGGUUCGUCCGCUCUGGGUAAGUCGGGACCUAAGGCGAGGCCGAAAGGCGUAGUCGAUGGACAACAGGUAGAGAUUCCUGUACCCGUAUAUAUGUGAAGGAAUGACGGAGAGAGGAAGCUGCAGCCAGCGGCUGGAAGAGCUGGUGCAAGCGAGAUAUCGGGAUGGCAGGCAAAUCCACCAUCCGAAACGAGAAGGCGUGAAGCGUACGGAAAGCUACGGCGAGUACGGAAGGCAGUGGAGGAACUUCCAAGAAAAGUUUCUAACGUAAAGUAUAUAUGGCCCGUACCGAAAAUGGACACACAUGGGUGAGGAGAGAAUCCUAAGGUGAGCGAGAGAACUAUAGCUAAGGAACUCUGCAAAAUGACUCCGUAACUUAGGGAGAAGGAGUGCUCAUAGAGAUAUGAGCCGCAGUGAAACGGCCCAAGCGACUGUUUACCAAAAACACAGCUCUCUGCUAAGCCGCAAGGCGAAGUAUAGGGGGUGACGCCUGCCCGGUGCUGGAAGGUUAAGGGGAGGGGUUAACGCAAGUGAAGCCCUGAACUGAAGCCCCAGUAAACGGCGGCCGUAACUAUAACGGUCCUAAGGUAGCGAAAUUCCUUGUCAGGUAAGUUCUGACCCGCACGAAAGGCGUAACGAUUUGGGCGCUGUCUCAGCUGUAGACUCGGUGAAGUCUUAGUACCUGUGAAGAUGCAGGUUACCCGCGACUAGACGGAAAGACCCCAUGGAGCUUCACUGCAGGUUGAUAUUGGGAUUUGAUGCAGCAUGUACAGGAUAGGUAGGAGGCAAAGAGAUGGAUACGCCAGUAUUCAAGGAGCCGCUGUUGGGAUACUACCCCUGUUGUAUUGGAUUUCUAACCGGACGACGUAGAGCCGUUGACGGGACAGUGUCAGUCGGGCAGUUUGACUGGGGCGGUCGCCUCCCAAAGAGUAACGGAGGCGCCCAAAGAUACCCUCAGCUUGGAUGGAAACCAAGCGCAGAGUGCAAAGGCAAAAGGGUGUUUGACUGCGAGACCCACAAGUCGAGCAGGGACGAAAGUCGGGCUUAGUGAUCCGGCGGUGCUGAAUGGAAAGGCCGUCGCUCAACGGAUAAAAGCUACCCUGGGGAUAACAGGCUGAUCUCCCCCAAGAGUCCACAUCGACGGGGAGGUU
rnacentral:rRNA from 1 species